rnacentral:rRNA from 1 species
AUUGAACGCUGGCGGCAGGCCUAACACAUGCAAGUCGAACGAGUGGCGGACGGGUGAGUCAUGUCUGGGACACUGCCCGAUGGAUGGGGAUAACUACUGGAAACGGUCGCUAAUACCGCAUACCAUCGGAUUUGCCCAGAUGGGAUUAGCUAGUAGGUGGGGUAAUGGCUCACCUAGGCGACGAUCCCUAGCUGGUCUGAGAGGAUGACCAGCCAGACUGUAACUGAGACACGGUCCAGACUCCUACGGGAGGCAGCAGUGGGGAAUAUUGCACAAUGGGCGCAAGCAUGAUGCAGCCAUGCCGCGUGUAUGAAGAAGGCCUUCGGGUUGUAAAGUACUUUCAGCGGGGAGGCGUGACUCGCAGAAGAAGCACCGGCUAACUCCGUGCCAGCAGCCGCGGUAAUUC